CUGGAUUGGAAAAACGACCCGUACUGGGGCUGCAAAUCCGUAGGAAACUGCAUCCAAAAAACUAUUGGGGCUAGAGUGGUGGGAGAGGGAAGGAUGGAAUUAGUUGUGUAGGGGGGUAAAAAUUCCGGUUAGAGGGAAUAAAACUUAGGGGAAAAUUACCCCAAAAAAGGCGGGAAAGGGGCCAAAUCCUUUUUCUUGGGGAAAAACAAUUUUACCUUGGACAGGCCCUGUGAAGAGGGCCGGCCCGAAAAAAACCCGUUGUAGGCAAGCCCAAAACACAGGGGGAAAUUUAAAGAAAUUACCCCCCCCCCCUCGUGGUGGUGUGAUUUAGGGUUUUCCAAAACGGGGGGUGUGAGUAUGAUGGAACACCACCGUGUGAAAUAUCGAGACCAAACUCCCCCCUCCAUGUGCCGAAUAUAGGACCGCCCAAUUUUUCUGAGGGGUGGGGUUUUAAAAACCCCCCCCGUUGUGGAAAAAUACCCACCCGCCCAAAAAAAAAAAAAAUUGGUUUCUCGGGGGUUACCCCUUAUUUUUUUUUCCCAAAAAUUAAAAAUUCCCAGACUCCCGUUGGCCCUUUUAAAAACCCUUUCCCCCCCCUUUGUCCCCACCGAAGGUCCCCUAGGUACCCACCCGGACCCGGGGGUUUUUAAAAAAAUAUAACCCGGGGGAAAAAAUUGGGGGUUGGACCCAAAAGGGGCCGGAAUUUUUAAACUUUUCGGGGGCAAAAAAUCCCUAUCCUUUGGGGGGGGGCCGAGAUUAAAUAAGGGCCGGGGCGGGUCCUUUCAAAGUGGUCCGGGGUCACAAUUUUAUAUAAAAGGCGUUUGGAGGAAAUGGAAUGCCAUAUAAGGACCCCCUAAACGGGGGCCCUUUCCAAAACCCCGUUUUAGGUAAAACCUUUGGGCCAAAUUCCCCCCACACACAACAACCUUUAAACAUUUAAGUGGCCUUAAAGGGAAGGGGUUUCCCUCGCGCGCGUGUAAAGGGGGGGGGAAAAAAAAGAGACACACUCGGGGGUUAAUUUCUAAUCAUGGGCCUUCUCUGGGGGUUGGGGGUUUACACCGCGGUGGGGGGGGACUCUAAGAGAGAAGAAUUUUCUGCCCGCGCGGGUCUUUUAAAGUGCUCCAACAGGGGGAGAACACCUUCUUAUAAU
rnacentral:rRNA from 1 species